AUAGGUGUUUAUAUCACCCUGCAGCCACACUGAAGCUAAGUAGGGUUGAGCCUGGUCAGUACCUGGAUGGGAGACCUACUGGGAAAACUAGGUUGCUGUU
rnacentral:rRNA from 1 species